rnacentral:lncRNA from 1 species
CUGGUCAGGGAGGGGGGCUAUCUUAAUCCCUGGUGGUCCAGUGGCAUGGGCUGUGAAGUGGGGGGGCCAGCAGGAAGAAUUUACUUACCUUUCCUGCAGCUCCUGUCAGCUCCUGUCAGCUCCCUUCUCCUCCGUUCCGGUCAGCUCCACUGUAAGUCUCGCGGUCUGGUUGCCGCGCGGAUCGUUGCCAUGGCUCUGACGGCUGCGGCUCUCUAAGUUGCCAUAAUACAGACAGUGACUCGAGUAUAAGUCGAG